UAAUUCAGCAAUUAAUCUACAUAACUUGAAGUAGGCUUGAAAGCAGAAAAGGGAUUAUGUUGGUAAUUCUAUUGGGUCCCCAUGAUACAAACAGAGAAUUUUGUUUUCAAAGUCUAAAUCAAAAACGUUGGUUUUACAAUUGCACUUAUAGUUUCCAAAGACUCAACUACAUUUCCUAUUUCGCAAUUUCUAUCACAGUUGUGAUGGAAAUUGCGAAAUAGGAAGCGCAGUUCAUUGUCUUUGACAUUAAAAAGGAAGUCGUCAUUUGAAGGAAAAAAGAGCACAUUAUCAUUUGCUGAUUGGGUAGACUGCAAACAGUGCACAACCUUUACUACAGUGAGCACUUCUCUUCGCUUUAGUUUAUGCAAUGCAACAGGGAAUUGCCACCAGAACAUUCAAGCAUAUCAACUUCUGAUCGGUAACAGACACACUGAGUGUUUGUCAACACUUCCAACUUUCCAAGGAUACUUCUCGAUACAAAUGGCAUUUCUCUUUGCUGCAGGAGCUGCAGCUUUAUUGGCAUUAAAACUUGUGCAAGACACAGAGGUGCAUCAUAUCUCUGUUGCAAAUUCAACCAUUCAACCCAUUGUUGUUGUUGUUGAAAACUCCAGGGGUAAAAAUCAAUCGAUAAUAGAAGCAGGGGAGUUUGUGCAAUUCACGGUGUCAUGUAACACACCCAUAUCUAUCAAAGUGAGAAAGCCGGAGAAAACUACCUACGACGCCGAGGUGAGCGAUUACGAACGUCGCAAUUUCAUUGUGAGAAAAGCGACAACAGGGGAAUUGGUCCUCGUUCGAGCUCAAAAAGGGAUGCAGUGGGAAGUUGAGCCUAACAGAACUAAUGAGGACUUGGGAAUGGCACGUGUUCGACAUGUCACAGAAGGGGAGCUGUAUUCUUCAUGGAGUCAUCCACAGGGUCGUCCAUCUUUCUAUGACGGGAAGAAUAACUCUGAUUAUUAUGCAUAGGCUUCCAGCCUCUAAAUCUAGUCUGGAGGAUAUCAGAAUAGCACGUGUUCGGCCAUUCACAGAAGAAGACCUGUAUGCUUCACAGAGUAGUCCACAUUGUUCAUCUUUCUUUGACGGGAAGAAUAGCUACAAUUAUCAUACAUAGGCUUCCAGCUUCUAAAUCUAUUCUUGUAAUGACAGUGGUGAAGUGGCGGAUCCAAGGUUCUCUGAUGAGGGGGGGGGGGGUUACAUCUAAAAGUUCCCUGACAAGCAAAAACAAGGAGGAAGUACGUACAGUGUGUAUCAUUCUUCUUCUUCUUUUUUUGCUCUCCCCCCUCCCCCAAUUAAAAUCUCUUCUUUGGCCGCCUGCAUGUGCCCCCCCCCCACCUUGUUGUUCAGACACCUUCUGUAACUUUUUUCAUAAAAUCUUGUAUAGAUCAUACCUAGGAACGAAUUUUUUUAUCAUUCCUUCAAAGGAAACCUCGACCUAACGAAUAAGUGUAGGUAUGCUCACUAUACUGAAAGAUGAGAUGCAUUCCUGCCUUUUGACGUAAAAUAUUCCUUAGAAAAGUUUACAAGAGAUAUAUAUUUGGCAUGUUUAUAAUUACAAUGCCAUUCAGCAUGUCAUGGCCGCAGUAAUUUUCUUGAUAAUGUGAUAUACCAGGCAAACUUGUACAUGUACAUGUAUUAUGCACCAAAGCUUUACCGGUAGUUGGAAAUACAAUAACAAAGCUUUUACUUAUCAAUGAGGGAAAUUGUAGCUGUGAAGGUAAACAAAAAAAUGAUGAAAAAGAUAUAAGAGGGGAACAAUUGUAACUUGU